rnacentral:rRNA from 1 species
CAAACGACUYUCGGCAACGGAUAUYUCGGCUCAUGCAUCGAUGAAGAACGUAGSGAAAUGCGAUACUUGGUGUGAAUUGCAGAAUCCCGUGAACCAUCGAGUUUUUGAACGCAAGUUGCGCCCGAAGCCAUUCGGCCGAGGGCACGUCUGCCUGGGCGUCACAC